rnacentral:lncRNA from 1 species
CUAAAGCAAGAACAGAAGAGGAAACAUAAAAACAAGUAGCAAAUCGUGAAAAAAGGUUCCAAAGAAGUUUAUUCUGAACCCAGAGACAGGAAAGGGUUGGACUCACCCAGAGCAACUUCCAGACCUGCAAGCCACAUUCAUGCUUCUAGAGGUCAUUCACAUUCUUUGGCUCAUGACUCCCUUUCUCCAUCUUCAAAGCCAGCAAUGGCAGGUGAGUCCUUCUUAGAUCACAUCACUCUGACCUCCUCUUCUGCCUCCUUUUUCCACUUUCAAGAAUCUUGUGAUUACACUGAGUCCACCUGGAUAACCCAGGAUACCCUCCUCAUCUCAAAG